UUAGAUUUAAUUAAAACUUAUAAUAUUAAUUUGUCAAAUUAAAAUUAUUCUUAAGAAUAAUCUCAU
rnacentral:tRNA from 1 species